rnacentral:rRNA from 1 species
GAAGAAAGAGGGAGGCGUGCUUAACACAUGCAAGUCGAACGGAAAGGCUCCAGCUUGCUGGAGUCCUCGAGUGGCGAACGGGUGAGUAACACGUGGGUAAUCUGCCCUGCACUCUGGGAUAAGCCUGGGAAACUGGGUCUAAUACUGGAUAUGACCUUUCUCCUUAUGGGGUUUGGUGGAAAGUUUUUCGGUGUAGGAUUAGCCCGCGGCCUAUCAGCUUGUUGGUGGGGUUGUGGCCUACCAAGGCGACGACGGGUAGCCGGCCUGAGAGGGUGAUCGGCCACAUUGGGACUGAGAUACGGCCCAGACUCCUACGGGAGGCAGCAGUGGGGAAUAUUGCACAAUGGGCGGAAGCCUGAUGCAGCGACGCCGCGUGAGGGAUGACGGCCUUCGGGUUGUAAACCUCUUUCAGCAGGGACGAAGCGUAAGUGACGGUACCUGCAGAAGAAGCACCGGCUAACUAUGCG